rnacentral:misc_RNA from 1 species
CAAAAAAAGACGAGCCCGGGAGAUAGCGAAGAGGCAACGCAGAUGCGGCCAAACCCAGAUAAUUGUAGCAACUAGGAGCACAUAAGCCAUACUUAUACAUACAUACAUACAUACAUGUGUAUGUACAUGCACGACACAACCAUAUCCACAUGAAAAUUAGAGGCACCAUACCAGAAACUUUUCAAUUUUUUUGGAUGCAUGUCAGUCAUUAGCAAUUAUUGCCUUCAUAUAAAUACCUGUUUUCCUUCUACCUGCGCAUAGAUAAUUCAUUGCCUCACUUUCUUAUUCUUCUUGCUGGGUGCCGCAUGUUGGACCCUUUGUCUCUUUCUGUUGUUGGUUUCGUUGAUGAUCGCUACUUCUUUUUAUUGCCUAUACCAGCAACAGAUAGUGCUUUUGCUGUUGCUGUUGUCGGGGGUCGGGUUUGGUUUUGUUUUGGGUUUUCAUAAUGUCGCAGAAGAGGCAGCCUGAGGAGCCCAAGUCUGGCUCGGAAACGAAUAGUCCCGAUGAGAAGAGGAGGAG